GUCCACGCCGUAAACGUUGGGCACUAGGUGUGGGACCCUGUCAACGGGUUCUGUGCCGCAGCUAACGCAUUAAGUGCCCCGCAUGGGGAGUACGGCCGCAAGGCUAAAACUCAAAGGAAUUGACGGGGGCCCCGCACAAGCGGCGGAGCAUGUUGCUUAAUUCGAGGCAACGCGAAGAACCUUACCUGGGCUUGACAUGUAGGGAAAAGCUCUAGAGAUAGAGUGUCCUUAGGGGCCCUACACAGGUGGUGCAUGGCUGUCGU
rnacentral:rRNA from 1 species